rnacentral:tRNA from 1 species
ACUCGAAUAGCUUAUUUGGUUUAGAGCGUGACAUUGAAGAUGUCAAUGAGGUGUUUGUUUGCCUUUGAGUA